GACGGAGGGUGCAAGCGUUGUCCGGAAUCAUUGGGCGUAAAGAGCGUGUAGGCGGCCCGGUAAGUCCGCUGUGAAAGUCCAGGGUUCAACCCUGGGAUGCCGGUGGAUACUGUCGGGCUCGAGUCCGGAAGAGGAGUGUGGAAUUCCUGGUGUAGCGGUGAAAUGCGCAGAUAUCAGGAGGAACACCAAUGGCGAAGGCAGCACUCUGGGACGUGACUGACGCUGAGACGCGAAAGCGUGGGGAGCAAACAGG
rnacentral:rRNA from 1 species